UACGAAGGGGGCUAGCGUUGCUCGGAAUCACUGGGCGUAAAGGGUGCGUAGGCGGGUCUUUAAGUCAGGGGUGAAAUCCCGGGGCUCAACCUCGGAACUGCCUUUGAUACUGCGAAUCUUGAGUCCGGUAGAGGUGGGUGGAAUUCCUAGUGUAGAGGUGAAAUUCGUAGAUAUUAGGAAGAACACCAGUGGCGAAGGCGGCCCACUGGAUCGGUACUGACGCUGAGGUGCGAAAGCGUGGGGAGCAAACAGG
rnacentral:rRNA from 1 species